GGUCCCAAGUAAUUUUGUUUAAAAUGUUCUAUUGAAGAUUGUAGUGGCUAUGCUUAUGGGAUAGAUUAAAAUUGCCAUGAUCUGAAGAGGGAGGGUUUAUUUGUGUCCUCCUCCUAUAUGAAAUGGCUGAACAGAAAGAA